rnacentral:tRNA from 2 species
GGGCGAUUAGCUCAGUUGGCUAGAGCAACCCGUUUACACCGGGUAGGUCGCAGGUUCGAGUCCUGCAUCGCCCACCA